AAAAAGUAAAUCUAGGUUCCCGCUUUUCAUCAUGAAAAGGUCUGGUCCAAGCGAUUUACAUGCUUAAUGUUUUCGACAGAACGGCAUGACACCGAAGGGAUAAAAGCCCAGGCGGG
rnacentral:sRNA from 2 species